UACAGAGGCCACAAGCGUUAGGCGGAAUCACUGGGCUUAAAGCGUGUGUAGGCGGGUUGAUAAGUACCUUGUGAAAUCCCACGGCUUAACCGUGGAAUUGCUUGGUAUACUGUCGAUCUUGAGUCAUCUAGAGGUAACCGGAACAGAUGGUGGAGCGGUGAAAUGCAUAGAUAUCAUCUGGAACGCCAAUGGUGCAGACAGGUUACUGGGGAUGUACUGACGCUGAGGCACGAAAGCCAGGGGAGCAAACGGG
rnacentral:rRNA from 1 species